rnacentral:rRNA from 1 species
AUUGAACGCUGGCGGCAGGCCUAACACAUGCAAGUCGAGCGGAGCGGCGGACGGGUGAGUAAUGCCUAGGAAUCUGCCUGGUAGUGGGGGAUCACGUCCGGACACGGGCGCUAAUACCGACUACUAUAUGAGGAGCCACGGUCGGAGUAGCUAGUUGGUGGGGUAAAGUCCUACAAAGGCGACGAGCCGUACCUGGUCUGAGAGUAUAGUCAGUCACACGGGAACUGAGCUACGGUCCAGACUACUACGGGGGGCAGCAGUGGGGAAUAUUGCACAAUUGGCGCAAGCCUGAUGCAGCCAUGCCGCGUGUAGGAAGAAGGCCUUCGGGUUGUAAAGUACUUUCAGCGGGGAGGCGUUACCCGCAGAAGAAGCAACGGCUAACUCCGUGCCAGCCGCCGCGGUAAUAC